rnacentral:lncRNA from 1 species
CCACUGAGCUAUCUCUCCAGCCCCAUGGAAGCCACUAUUAAAGGAAGCAAAACUGCCAUCAGAAGUCUUGCUGUCUCUGUGGAUUGAGCCUAUGUGCUGAGCCCUGACUGUUAGAGGAGGGCACCUAGAUGUGAAAGCAGGAAACAACUAGGGGCCUGACUGUGAGGACCCCUGAGG